UACGUAGGGUGCGAGCGUUUGUCCGGAAUUAUUGGGCGUAAAGGGCUCGUAGGCGGUCUGUCGCGUCGGGAGUGAAAACUCAGGGCUUAACCCUGAGCCUGCUUCCGAUACGGGCAGACUAGAGGUAUGCAGGGGAGAACGGAAUUCCUGGUGUAGCGGUGGAAUGCGCAGAUAUCAGGAGGAACACCGGUGGCGAAGGCGGUUCUCUGGGCAACAACUGACGCUGAGGAGCGAAAGCGUGGGGAGCGAACAGG
rnacentral:rRNA from 1 species